AUUUGCUCUCAACUCUGUCUUGUUACUUAAGAAAUGCUGAAGAAAAUGGAAUUGUCAUCUUGUUCUUGGCUGGGAGCAGUAUAGUCAGACAGUGCCGGAGUAUCGGGAGCUCAUCUGGAGGCAGAAUCCUGGAUGCCAGCAGGCUGCGGUGGUGGCAUCUCGAAGUUUUGAUAAGGCAUGGUGUCAAACAUGGGCACUAACAGCUCUGCCAGAAACCUCUGCUGCUAGUUCUACUCAUAGGAGCAGGAAGAAAAGGAUAUUGUUUCUUGUUAUUUUAUUUUUCUCAGUCAGCUAUAAUGAAACCCUCAUUGGCUUUAUAGGUGGGAAGUGGUGAUAGCAGGACCAUCUCUAGCCCUUGCGAGUGCAGGGAGUUGAAAUCAUGACCCUCAAAACCCUAAAAACAAAUGAAGGAGAAGAGGCGACUGCUUUUCUGUUCUUGUGCAAGGCAAUGUCACAGACUGGGGAGGACCCUUCCUCCUGAUUUUACUGAGGAACUAUAAAUUGCUAUUGCAAAUGCACUCUACUGCUUUCUUAAGGUAAGAGAUAAAGUUUGCAUUUUGUUGUGUUUGUAAUUUACAUGAUGUUUUGUAACUUAGCUCUGUGAUAUAAUGUGCCUAUAACGUUUUUUAUCUAAAGAUCUUAAACAGUUUUACUUUGAGAGGUUUGCAAUUUUUAACAUUUUUUCCCAAGAUUAAUUAAAACAAUUUCACCUGAUUGAUUCUAUUGCAGUCUAUAUCUGUAAAUUAAUACCUUUCGUAUGCUUAAAUUGGUCAAAUUUGUUCAUUUCUCUUUUAAUGUAUCUUUAGGAACCUUCUUUUUUCAGAUUCUAAUUGAGAAAACUCUUUACUCUUUCAACUUCUUUUUCUCUUCCCUGAACAACUAACUCAUUUUUUUGGUUUGCUGAACAUACCUAAUCUCAUAAAAUUUCUGUUACAGUAGGUGAAACGUUGGUUCACAGAAAUUUGCUUGAAAAAUUUGCUAUUUUAAAUCUUUUUGAUUAGUCUGUUUUACAAACGUUCUGAUUUGUGUAUGAUUACAGUAGACUGAUUUUCAGAAAUCUCUUUUGUGUGUUGUUUUCUUAUGUGUUAAAGGUUAGGAAACUUUUCUGCUGGUGCUGAACCGGCCUGCUUGGUCAUAUCUCAAGAUUUUUUUCAGGUAUUCCAUUCAUAGCUCACAUGCUGGAAAAUGAGACGAGAAAACCCUUAAAGGCUCAGAAAUAAACUAAAUAAAUAUUUCUUUUCAAUAGCACAAAUUUUUAACAUGAUGUUUGAGAAAUCUGCAACUCAUCACAAUUGGUCAGCAUGCAAAUGGAGAUCAAGCUUUGGGGUAAGAAUACCACUCUGCCUGUAGGGUUCUCUUUGUGUUCUUUCAUUUGCUGUUCCAUGAUUCUGUAUAAUGCCAGAUCUUGCAGAUCAUACUAUAUGCCUAUUCCCCAGCCGUUUGACUUGGCAGAAGAGUUCCCUCUGAUUUGUGUCUGUGUUUCAAGAGCCAGCAGCUUAGAGCAAAGAUCUGUUUUGACUGUCUUAACCUUGCUCUUUAACAUCAGCUUUUCUUUAGCUCGUUUCUAUUCUCUGUCAUAGGUGCCUUAUGUACUGCUGGGUCUCCUUUAGCGAAAAGUGGAGAAUCCACUUUGAGUUUUGACUGCUCUACUUUGCAAGCUAAUUUUCAAGAUUUCUGGCUAACUUCCUAAUAAAAAAUUAGUGGGGAGACUUGGAAGGCAGAGAGUACUUUUGGGAUCCUGAUGAUCCUAGGCCAUGAUUUUCAUAUUGGGUAUCGGUGAUGUAGAAGGUAAGCAGCUUACCCAAUGAUACCAAAUGAGCCAGCUGCAUGUCUGGAGCAGAAGCUGGUACCUUGAUACAAGAUGUUCAGUUACUAGGUCUCUUUUUCUCUGAUACCAAACUCAUAUGUUACUUGUACUGUUUCAAUUAUGUUCCCUUUCACAUGCUGAACACUCUCACGACUCUGCAGAGUUGAUGGUAUUAUUAAUCAUGCAGAGAUGGUGCAAGUGCAGGAUGUAUUAAAGAGAUGAGAAAUCCCCUCUAUUUCAAAAUACAAAUACUCUCUCUCUAGAAAACAAUUCUUUGAAUGCUUUGCAUUCUUGGCAGCCUAUCCUGGAAAUAAUAUUAACACAUGUAUUGUUUAAAGCUAUUUGGAAAAGCAGAUCACGUAAAGAAGGAAGUUCUGCCUUGUGAAAAAUUUCUAUGAAGUAGCAACAUCCUGUUAUUAGUUGAGUUUUCAUAUUUUGCUUGUUGCUCUAACGUUCUUAACAGAUUACAGUUGUUACACCAACAAAUGACCUUUACUCAUCUGCUUGAGUAUAAACAGAUAAGGAUUCACAAUACUUGCUUCACUGCAGCUGUCUAACUCUUGGUUUCUUUUUUUUUUUUUUUUUAAAUGGGAAAUCACGUUGUUCAGGAAUAAGAGCUGGUUCCUCUGUAAGAAAUCUCAGCAGAGGGGGGCCAGCAGGUGCCAGAAGAUGGUGCCAAAGCCUCUCACCUUGCUGAGUAGCAGGCUAAGCGCCAGCAGCCUGGACCCAGGGGCCUGUGCCCUGCUCACUUCAAGCUUUCAGCCUCAAAAAUCGCACAGCUGUAGCUUGUUCCUGCAUCUGUCCUCUACAGGAGGAGAUUUUUCUUAGUCCCUGUGAAUGGCAGCUCCUCCCUGGUUCUAUAGACCUGGACAAAACAGUCCUAAAAGCAGUUAUCUGCUGGCCACAUCCCAAGGAAAAGGAGUCUAAGCAAACACUCAGGACAGUGUCUCAGGAAGGAGAGAGGUUUCUCUUGUAGCAGCAAGGGUGGAGGGAAUUGUCUUCUGGCCCCUUGUCAGUGCACCUGCAGCCUGCCUGAUUUAAGCACAGGACUUGCAUCUAAGCUUCAAGUACUUGAAAAAGCCAUGCUCCAAAACCACAUACUCCACUUCUCCAUUAUAUUUAAUGGCAAGAGGUAAGUGCCUUUGACGAUUUCAGAAAAAUCUAUUUGCUAACUCAGAAGUCUAAAAUAAGGUCUAAUAAACUGCCAUUCUGGGAGGCCUUCAAAGGCACCUAACUCUUUCUUGACACACAAAUUUUCAGACAUCUCAUUAGGAUGAGGGCAGCUGGGCAGAGCUGUUUUUCUUUGGACCUUGUCCUUCGGGGAUAGAAGGGGUAUCCGACCUUAUGCUAAUGGCAUGUCUUAGAGUUGUCCUGGAGCUGUUCCUCCAAGUACUUUAGGGAUUGGUUGACCUCAAAGCUCAUGGAGCUAAAAUCGGCUCCCAGAUACUUCACGCCCAUGGUGCAGUGCAUGGAGCUCUGGCUCAAAAGAGGAAUCUGUCCUUGGAGACUUAAAACCAGCUCUUUUGUUAUGACUCCUUGCAAUAACCUUUGCCUUCUUGCCUUGAGGUUGUACAAAUCAACUGUAGUCAAGGGACAGCUAAACUAGGCCAGGAGAUGAAGGUGAGGAGAUGAAGAAUUGCAGCACAGGUACCCCUAUCAGCUGGUUUACCAUGUUUCUCAUUAAAGCCAUGAUGUGGGACAGUCUGCAUUUGGAGAUACACCCUUUCUUUUGAAUGAGAUAUUUUUCUUCUUUUGAAUGUCUAAGAAGGACCCACUCCAUUCUGGAGCUAUCACAAGAAAAGGUGUGUGGCACCUUAUAAACAAAACCAAGAACAGAUAAGAAGAACAACGCCAAUAGCUGCUGGUGGUUUUUUUGUCUUUUAUCUCUAUUAUAGAGCUUAUUUUGUGAUUUAUCUCUGUUACAGAGACCAGAGGUCUUCAGGUGCAGUGGGAGGAUGGAGGAAUAAGACAACCGUUAUAGACGUCUCUGACUAGGAAUUAAUCCUGAAUCAUACUCACUGGAGGGAUCAGCUGUGUUUACAUAAGAAACCACUGUGCAGAAUGCUCUAAAUAUAGGUGACUCUUGCCUUAAAGAGCUUACUGUCCAUAAAAGACAGAGAGAAUAAGGGCCAGAGAGAAGCUUUGGAAAUGAGACAUUUUGAAACAUUGAGUCACCAUAACCUUAUUCAGUACUGAAGAUGAUUUCUGCUCUCCCAUUUGCCUGUUUUCCUUCAGCAGGGAUGUGCAAGCUACCUCAGGCAGGUCUGCAAGUCUUAACUUCCAUUCUGUUCCUUCACAGGAGAAGCUGUGAUAGGAACAAGGCAAGUAGACUAUGAAAAAAUACAGAGCCACUAUUAUGGAAGAGUGUUUUGUACAGUGUAAAACCAGUCUGGCUGACAGUUGAGAGCUAAGGGUAAAAUCUGCAGUAAAACAGCUGGUGGUGCAGAUCAGUCAUGAUGUCCUCCAGGUUCCUGAAAAAUGCAGAAUGUGGAGCUACGAGCCACUGCCAGCCGUGCCCAGCUGCAGUCUGGGAGACAUAAAUCAGCAUCUUCCAGCUACAGAAUCAAGGUGUAAAGGGACUAAUCUGAGGACUAAUGCAACUCCGUGACUGUCUGCAGCAAAGUUAGCCUCAGGAAGGACAGAGCAGUGAGGUGGCUGAACAGGAGCUGGCUCAGCACGAUUCAUCUGAGGAUGUGAAGGUGGCAAAAACCAUGUUUGCAUCAUUCACAUAAGUGAGACCUGCUAAAAUUCUCUUUGUUCAUUCAUUUACUUGUGGCAGGCCAAAUCAGCCUGCCAAGGGGAGGGGAGCAGUAUUUUUGUUUUCUAUUCAGUUAAUCCUUUUUGCUGAGUCCUGCUACUGAAGACAGUUAUCUGUACAGCUUCAAGCAGAAUGGGGAUUUAAACAUCAAAGUGCUGAUUUAAAUUCUGGAGGACAAUCAGUAUGGAGUCAUCAAACCUUCCAGCAAUUGUGCUGGUUUCUCCUUUGCUCUGGGCCUGAUCCUGCACACUCAGAUGCCCACAGCAACCGCUGAAGCCAGAUGGAGCUUUGACCAGGAUGAAGCUCUGUGUAGCACGACUGGUUCUUUGCGCAAAGGCACAAACCUAAACUGCUCUUCAGCCUUUUGACCAGGCCAAUCACCUCGUGUUUAGCUCAAAUUAAUUUCAAACUUGAAAUGUUUUGGUCCUGUUUGGCUUCUGCAAAGUUUCUUCUCUGGCUGACAGAACAGUUGGUCCUUAUUUUUCUCAUGGAAACUGCUGUAGUGUCCAGCAGCCCAGGGAACAAGAAAUGCUGUGAGACUGUGCAGGUAAGGCAGCAAUGUCAGCUCACACCUCUGCAGGUCACAACAUGAAAUCAAGCACAUCCUUCAGCCAGGGCUUCUGAUGCCUGGGGUCACUUUUUAAGCCAAGUCGAAAAACGUUUUGUGGUUUUUUUUUUGUUUUAGUGUUUGUUUUUAGGGCUGUAUGUGAUGGAUGUUAACACUUUAAUAUUAAAAUACCUCAGUUAUCACAAGGCUGAGAAUGAGGAGCUCCCAAAUAGUAUCAAAAUAGUGACUUUUGGCUUCUGCUCCCCACCGGGGUGGGGGGGUGAAAACACAUAUGUCUUUGCUGAGGAGCACUGUUUGAGUCCUCUGCUGCUGCAAAAUCGUCAGGUGCAUUCGAACCUCUCUUCUGGUUCUGAAUGGAUCCUGAUUUCUGUAAGCAUGUUCCUUCCUGAUAAGUACUUGGGAAAUAAUCUGUGUGACUAUAUUUAGCCUCCAAGUCCCACAGCACUUGCUUUUUGCUGAAGUGGCAGGUUUUUAACAUCUGUCUCUUACUGUCUGACUAUAUGAGGAAAUCUUCUUAGGAGAGCAAAAAAAUAACAUUGAAUUGCCAAUACCAUAAAUAAAUCAGUACUUACUCUCAUCUAUAAAUCUGUUCACAUUUAUGCAUGGGUAUUUGUACAUAGAAAAAUCAUUCCAUAGAGAGUCAUAAAAAUAAAACUCAAUCCAUGGGCAUAUUCAUGGGUGCUGAAGAGUGAGGUGUAGGCAUGUUUGAGCUGAGCAACUGCUGCAGAUUCAAAUUCAUGCUUGUAGACACUGUCCUGGUAGCAGCCAGCUGUCCCCAGGUGUGGACUGUAGCUCAGGAAGGACAGUCAAAAUGUGCCGAGAUGUAAGCUGAGAAGGUACUGUCCAGUUGCUAAAGGACUUGAUCUCUAAAUUUACUUUGCUGUUGAUGUUAAAUUUCCUAGCAAAACUAUCUGUUGCUGAGAUAUUUCUGUGAAAAACUGUAUAUAGCUCACCUUUCUCAGCCGUGCUGCAUGGAAGA